rnacentral:rRNA from 1 species
AUUGAACGCUGGCGGCAGGCCUAACACAUGCAAGUCGAGCGGAUGAAGGGAGCUUGCUCCUGGAUUCAACGGCGGACGGGUGAGCAAUGCCUAGGAAUCUGCCUGGUAGUGGGGGAUAACGUCCGGAAACGGGCGCUAAUACCGCAUACGUCCUGAGGGAGAAAGUGGGGGAUCUUCGGACCUCACGCUAUCAGAUGAGCCUAGGUCGGAUUAGCUAGUUGGUGGGGUAAAGGCCUACCAAGGCGACGAUCCGUAACUGGUCUGAGAGGAUGAUCAGUCACACUGGAACUGAGACACGGUCCAGACUCCUACGGGAGGCAGCAGUGGGGAAUAUUGGACAAUGGGCGAAAGCCUGAUCCAGCCAUGCCGCGUGUGUGAAGAAGGUCUUCGGAUUGUAAAGCACUUUAAGUUGGGAGGAAGGGCAGUAAGUUAAUACCUUGCUGUUUUGACGUUACCAACAGAAUAAGCACCGGCUAACUUCGUG